CCCUUCUGGAGGCCCCAGGAGAGGGUCUGUUUUCUGGCCCUUUCCGGUCUCCAGAAGUGCCU
ensembl:miRNA